CAAAGUUCACAACAAUUAUUAUAUCCUAAUUAACAUUCUAAACAAAAUUAUUCUAAUUAAAUUACUAACUAUCCUAAUGACUAGCACAACCUAAUGUAAUUAUUAACUAUCCCAAAUGCCAGGGGGGUAUGUCCGAAACUUGAGGGAGUGCGGUCCAGUAAACCGCGUGGGCUUAAAGAAGCUCAUAAGCCCAACCUGUUAUCGUCAAGGUUAACCACAACACGCAGGAGAAAAAAGAGCAAACGGAAGAGCACAUCACCGACGCUCUCUCCAUCAUCAGAGCGAAAUGAAAUGCGAUCCCGUCGCCGCCUCCAUUUCGUAACUGAAAACGCAAGAUCACCUAACAGAACGCUAACACACACUCGAUCCAACGAUUACACCACGCGGUCAACACAAAUCUGGCUUGAUGAUGAACGGAUCUUCAAGCUUCGCGAUCCAGAAGGCAGCUUCCGUCACCGGCAGCAGCGAUCCAUUCCAACAACUAAUCCGCGCUCCUCAACCAACCUGAAACAAAGAUAAUCGGCCAAAUAGGAGCAACCGCGAGCGGUAAAAGCAAGAUCGAAGGUUUCGUCGGCGGCUUCACUUUGAAAUUCCGGUAACCUCCUCGAAUUGGAACUGCAAGAUCUGACACGGUGGCUUUCCGACGAUAACCGGUGUGGAAUUGGCUUUUGCUGGCUCGCGUUUAGCUGCGGUUUGCCGGCUUAAUUGUAACUGUAGCUUAUUUGGUGCUUGGAAGUAGCUUGGCUUGUAGUUGGAAUUGCAUCGCGUUUUGGCUUGGCGUGUUGUAGCAGGUGUUGUGCGUUUGGAAUGCUGUGUUUGGCUGCGUUUCAAGUUGUGCUCAUGGCUUGGCGCUGGCUUUGGUGAAGCUUACGCGUAUCCGUUGUUUUGGAGCUUUGGAUGCAUCUUUUGAAGCUUACGCUCAGGCUUUUCACUUGCAGAACUAUUAUUCUCACUUGCUUUUUCCUCCAUUGCAUUACUUAUUAUUAUUAUUUAUUUUUAUGGACAAACUACAUGCAUAUGGUUUUGGAUCAUGUUAUGGAAUUAUUUGGAAAAUGGUUUAUUGGUUGUUAAGGGGAUAUGGAAAUUGUUUAUGAAUAAAAAUGGUUUAUGAAUUAUUAUCAAA